rnacentral:rRNA from 1 species
UACAGAGGGUGCGAGCGUUGUUCGGAAUUAUUGGGCGUAAAGGGUGCGUAGGCGGUCUGACAAGUCUGAUGUGAAAUCUAUGGGCUCAACCCAUAGUCUGCAUCGGAAACUGUCGGGCUUGAGUAUGGGGAGAGGUGAGUGGAAUUUCCGGUGUAGCGGUGAAAUGCGUAGAUAUCGGAAGGAACACCUGUGGCGAAAGCGAGGUCCUGGACGUUUUCUGACGCUGAGACGCGAAAGCCAGGGGAGCGAACGGG